rnacentral:rRNA from 1 species
GACGAACGCUGGCGGCGUGCUUAACACAUGCAAGUCGAACGGAAAGGCCCUGCUUUUGUGGGGUGCUCGAGUGGCGAACGGGCGAGUAACACGUGAGUAACCUGCCCUUGACUUUGGGAUAACUUCAGGAAACUCGGGCGAAUACCGGAUAGGAGCUCCUGCUGCGUGUGGGGGGUUGGAAAGUUUCGGCGGUUGGGGCGGGACUCCGUGGCUAUCACCUGGUUGGGGGGGUAGUGGUUUACCAAGGCUUUGACGGGUAGCCGCCCUGAGAGGGUGACCGGCGACAGGGCGCCUGAGCGCCGUCACAGACUCCGACGUGCGGCAGAAGUCGCGAGUCUUGCACAACGGGCGCGACGCUGAUCGCGCACGGGGCCGUGCGGGAUGACGGCCUUCGGUGUGUACACCGCUUUCGCCUGUGCCGAAGCGUGCGUGACGGUAAUGGGUAAAGAAGCCCCGGCUAACUACGUG